rnacentral:lncRNA from 1 species
CGGCUUGGGGGGGGGGUCGAGCCGCGGCCCCGCUCCGCGGAGCGUUGACGUUUUUUGGGGCCCGCAGGAGGGAACGGGGCGGCCGCGCCGGUCGCAGGGCGCCGCGGAGUCUCCGCGGCCGCUUGCCCCGGGCUGGGCCGCCCGCGAGCUUUCGGCGCUGCCUCCGUCGACGCCGCCGUUAAGGCCCCGGUCCCGCCGCGGCUCGGCGGCCGCUGAACUUCUCCUUGCGCUCCGGGAGCCGGACUGCCGACAGACGGAGAUAUUCGCGAGGUCGGGAUCCGCGCCGCGCGCCCGACGGCGAGCCUCGGUUAUCCUCAGCGGUUGGGUUCGUUCGGAUGCGUGUCGCGAGCUGGUUUUCCACGGCCUUCUGCUGGGAAGGCCAAGUCUCCCCGCCGGUGUUUGCGCUGCUGCUAGUUUGCUGGAUCAGAUCCUUAUUGACGAUGGUGGUCAAUGGAGGUAUAAAUACUGAAGAAUAUGUCAUUUACAGAGAAGAUGUUUGAAAUCUGUUUCCUUUAGACAGCAAAGCCAUGAUCUGCUGGGGAAGAGCUUGUUCUGCAGAUCUUUAUUACUGAUUCUUCAAGCAGCAUGAAUUGAAAAUCUUUGGAAUGAAGUAGUUAGCUCAGGCCAAGCCUAGUGGAGCAUCAGGUCCAGGAUGCACGGGAUCAAGGUCCGUUUUCUGUUCUCACGCAGCCUUCCGGCAUGUCACUUACCUUCCCGAAUUAGUUCCGUUCUGGCUCCAGCCUUACACCCGUGUCGCUGAGGGCAAUGCCUGCGCAGCCGGACGCGGGAAGUGGCCUAUCUUCGUGCCUGUGCCCCGGGCAGCUGGUGCGCGUCCCCUCCGGGCCCGGGCUCCUCUGCGGCACUGCCAGGUGCCCUGGAGAGCUGAGCGUGCCGGCUCUGCUGCCGGGCGCUGCUGGCACGCAGCCCUAGGGCGAAGAUCAGCCCUCUCUGCCAAACCGUGCGUCCUUGCCAUGAUGCGUGCCUACGUUAAAAAUUUGCAUUUCAAGAAACGUGCAUGUCAACCUUUAGGCUGUCCACUAGAAGAGAGCAUGGAAUGUAGGGAUGUUUUUAGUGUUCGUAUAGCAUCUUAACGUGAACGCUGGAUUUUCUUAUCCAUAAAUGGAGAUGCAGCUUAUUGGUUUGUACUAUUUGUUCCAGCGUGUGAAAGAAACCAGAACUAUACGUUACAAGUUCUCAUAAUUUUUGUUUCUUUUUAGUCAUGCAGAAGGAUGCAAAAAUAUAUCAGAGAGAUACAGCAUUAAUAAAAUAGGAAACUGGUUAUGCA